GGGGUCGUAGUUCAGUUGGUUAGAAUGCCGGCCUGUCACGCCGGAGGUCGCGAGUUCGAGUCUCGUCGGCCCCGCCA
rnacentral:tRNA from 13 species